rnacentral:lncRNA from 1 species
AUAAUAAAUCUAGUAUCUUAUCAUCCUUAAUCAUUUUAGAAAGUUUAAACAAAAGUUUCGGGCGAUUUAUUAUUGAUAGCGUACUAAAUAAAUCAGAUAUAUAAACCCUAUCUAUAUUCCUGCUUGUAGCAACAUAAUCAUAAUAUUCUAACAAACUCGUUUUAAAUCCAAAAGAUAUAUUCUCCUUUAACAUAUUAUUCUCAAUAAUAUUAUUGUUUAUCAUCAAACCUAGAGCAAUUAAGACAAGGGUGUCUCCACCAGCUUUAGGUGAGAAUUCUAUAUAUUGAUUAGAAUUAAUACGUAUGAGGCGGCUAUUAUUAAAUUUAUUACUGCU